CAAAGUGCUGGGAUUACAGGUGGGAGCCACCGCGUCCAGCCUAAGCCUUUUCAAUCAAUAGCUCAAUGCCCUCUCGUGUCAAUAUGCAGAACAAGGAACUGAAUCUAUACUAGACUUUAUUACAGCACAGUGUCCAUUAUCUUUACUUUCUCCCACUAUAAUACCCCAGUCUUGCCCGUAAAGAUGAGAAGGGAAGUUUGACUUUGAUGAGCACCAAAGUUACCAAUUUUACAAAAUCUAAUAGCCAUAAUUCUUGUAGUUCCUCACCACCCUACAGUUCCCACUAUUUUUACCCUAGUUCCUGUGUCUGCAGCCUGGUUUGCAUGAAUGGACCUCUGCUCAGCUGUCUUUUCCAUUCCUUUGCGUCCUGAUUCACAGUUCCUCUUUGCACUUCUGUUUAGAGGAGGACAGUGGGUAUGGCCUGCACACCUCAGGAAUAUUGCUGGUACCCCAUCCAUAUUUUCCCAAGUCCUUAAGGCCUACUCAGACUUUGUAACAUUUAUCCAAGGCUCUACUCGUGUUCAGUAUACUGAUGAUGCCUUUGUAGCCAAACUAAGCAAGGUGGUCUUAUGGAUUUCCUCAUUCUCCUAGAGACACUAGCUGAAUUAAGCCAUAAAGUCUCCCAAUCUAAAUUUCAGUGGGUGUAGAUAGCUAUUACUUAGGAUGCGAGGUAUCUCAGGGCACCCAAAGCUCACCCAGAACACCUUGAAUCAAUUUUAUCCAUCGCUCUCCGCAAAAUAAAAGCAGGCGUGAGCCACUGCACCUUGCCUCUUUAUGCACUCUUAACCUGUCUCUUCUCAUUCCUUCGUCACCACUGGACUUUGGGUACCCUACGGGUGAUGUUAAGGCUGGUCCCCAACAAUUGUUAUUUGUGGAAACUUUCCAGUACCCACGUAUAGCCAGCAGCCCCUUUAAGGGAACAUAACUCUCCCUGGCUGGCCAACAAAUAGCCCGGAGCCAAGCAGUCAUCAGCUGUCGAGUCUGCCAGGGAGCGUUGUCCUUCACGGAAAGCAUCUAAAGCAUUAGCUCUCUGCUGCGUGUGGUUAGAGUGUGCUGAACGUUUUCCGAUGGCUUCAUGGUUUGAGUUGACAGGAUGACAUCAUGUGUGCCUAAGGCAGUGCCCGUGGUGGCCCAAAAAGUAUGUGCAAUGAGCAGAAAAUUAGCACACUUGUCUCAAGAGGAGGUUUGGGAGUGGGUGUGAGAUGGAGCAGGGACUCCCUCUUCACGGCCUGUGGAUCUCCCAGGCAUAGAAAUAAAGAACAAUCUUGCUUUUCUUCAAGGUAAAUUUCAGUCACCUAGUUAGCCCCAAGAAGUAAAUAUGCAACUUGAUAAGCAAGAAGGUAACGGUAGCCUAAAACAAUAGCCAAGGAAGCUAGAAGCAUCGGAUGUGUAGUUCUCCUGUAGAAACUAAAGAUGGUGGCCGG
rnacentral:lncRNA from 1 species